AAUUACCCAGGUAGUCCACGCCGUAAACGUUGGAUACUAGGUGUGGCGGUUAUACCAAUGACUGCCGUGCCGAAGCUAACGCAUUAAGUAUCCCGCCUGGGGAGUACGGCCGCAAGGCUAAAACUCAAAGGAAUUGACGGGUCCCCGCACAAGCGGCGGAGCAUGCGGCUUAAUUCGAUGCAACCCGAAGAACCUUACCUGGGUUUGACAUCACGGGAAAAGCUGUAGAAAUACAGUGUCCAUUAAGGCCCGUGACAGGUGGUGCAUGGCUGUCGUCAGCUCGUGUCGUGAGAUGUUGGGUUAAGUCCCGCAACGAGCGCAACCCUUGUCCUAUGUUGCCAGCGGUUCGGCCGGGGACUCAUAGGAGACUGCCGGGGAUAACUCGGAGGAAGGUGAGGACGACGUCAAGUCAUCAUGCCCCUUAUAUCCAGGGCUGCACGCAUGCUACAAUGGCCGGUACAACGGGCAGCGACCCCGCGAGGGUGAGCGAAUCCUAAAAAGCCGGUCCUAGUUCGGAUUGAAGUCUGCAACUCGACUUC
rnacentral:rRNA from 1 species